UCCGCGCCGGGGACUUCCGGGCGAGCGGCGGGCGGUGGCGGAGGGUCGCUGCCUGCGCCCGCCCGGCCCGGGCCGCGCCCGCUCUCCUCGGCUGGGCGGGUCACGGUGCCUUCUCCAGCAGCCCGCCUUUCCUCGCCGCCGGUCUCGCUGCUGUGACAACUCGCGGAGGGGGCGUGGCGAGCUGUGCCCUCUAGAACCUCCGCAGGUGGCCUCAAAGGACAGGCAGGUGCAGCCAUAAGAAGCAAAAGAAGAGAAGAAAAUGCAUAUCCGGUCUUGGCCCCAUUUCCGGCGCGGGGCUCCCGAAACCCUCGGCGUUUCCCCGGUGACGCCCUCAUCACGGUGUCCUCCGUGAGCGGGAGACUUUGGAAGCACCCAAGGGUGGGGACUGGUUGCCAGGAGCGCCAGCCGCGGGAUAUCAGGGCUGCACUUUCCGCCUGGACCCCUGACCUGGGGGGGCGGGGCUGGAGGCUGCGUCCGUCCGUCCGUCCUGUGACAUGUCACCAGCUGUGCCCUGGCAUGGCGUCUGUGAGAACCCAACACGCGGGCGUCGAGGCCGGUGAACCCGGGAGCUUCGGGGAGACUGGCCCCUGCGGAGGGAGCUCCUUGCGCCCCACACCCGGCCCGCGCGCCUCCCAUCUGGCUGUUCCCGAGGUCCGUCCUUUCCAAUAAACCAGUGAUCUCGAAACCCGUC